rnacentral:rRNA from 1 species
UAGAAGAUGACGAGCGGCGGACGGGUGAGUAAUGCUUGGGAACAUGCCUUGAGGUGGGGGACAACAGUUGGAAACGACUGCUAAUACCGCAUAAUGUCUACGGACCAAAGGGGGCUUCGGCUCUCGCCUUUAGAUUGGCCCAAGUGGGAUUAGCUAGUUGGUGAGGUAAUGGCUCACCAAGGCGACGAUCCCUAGCUGGUUUGAGAGGAUGAUCAGCCACACUGGGACUGAGGCACGGCCCAGACUCCUACGGGAGGCAGCAGUGGGGAAUAUUGCACAAUGGGCGCAAGCCUGAUGCAGCCAUGCCGCGUGUGUGAAGAAGGCCUUCGGGUUGUAAAGCACUUUCAGUCAGGAGGAAAGGUUAGUAGUUAAUACC